AUGGUUAGGUUUGGCAAAAAGUUGACGGCCGACCAAGUUCCAGAGUGGAGAGGUUACUAUAUAAACUACAAGCUGAUGAAGAAGAAAGUAAAACAAUAUGGGCAGCAGCUCCAACAGGGAGAGAAAGACCGUCGCCGUGUUCUCAAGGAUUUCUCGAAGAUGCUUGAUGAUCAGAUAGAGACGAUUGUCUUAUUUCUGUUGGAGCAACAAGGAAGGUUGGCGAGCAGGAUAGAAAAGCUAGGAAAGCAAAGAGCUAUACUAGCAGAACAGCCAGAUAUAUCUGCCAUUGCUGAGUUACGAGAAGCUUAUAGAGAAGUUGGUCUGGAUCUUAUCAAACUUCUCAAAUUCGUCGACCUGAAUGCAACUGGCAUUAGGAAAAUUUUGAAGAAGUUUGAUAAACGCUUCAGUUACAGAUUUACUGAUUACUACGUGUCAAGUAGAUCAAAUCACCCUUAUUCUCAGCUACAGCAGGUCUUCAAGCAUGUGGGUGUAGGAGCUGUUGUGGGAGCCUUGUCGCGUAACCUUGCUGACCUUCAGGAGCGUCAAGGAAGUUAUUUAUCAAUUUAUGACCAACCAGCUUCUGCUCUUAAGGACCCAAUCAUUGAUAUGAUAAAUUCAUCGGUGGAUAAACUGACACGAUCAACUAAUUUUCUACGGUUUUUGGGGCAACAUGCCCUAAUUGCGCAAGAGGAGUCUCCUAGUACUGCAGGAGAGGAAGAAAUAGAAGAUCAAAAAUACCAUUUCGUGUCCCUUAUGCUGAAUUUGGUGAACACAUUCCUUUACAUGGUCAACACAUACAUCAUUGUGCCAACUGCAGAUGACUACUCAGUGAGCCUUGGGGCUGCUUCUACUGUUUGUGGUGUUGUUAUUGGUUCAAUGGCCGUUGCACAAGUAUUUUCUUCAGUGUACUUCAGUGCAUGGUCCAACAAGUCAUAUUUUAAACCACUUGUUUUCAGCAGUAUUGUUCUUUUCUUGGGUAAUGUCUGCUAUGCAAUGGCUUACGAUACGAAGUCCCUGACAGUCCUUAUUGUUGGCCGCCUACUCUGUGGGUUGGGUUCUGCAAGAGCUGUCAACCGACGGUACAUUAGUGAUUGUGUCCCUGCAAGGAUACGCAUGCAAGCUUCAGCAGGAUUCGUAAGUGCAAGUGCACUUGGCAUGGCUUGUGGGCCAGCGCUGGCUGGUUUACUUCAGUGGAGAUUUAAAAUCUACAUGGUUACGUUCAGUCAGUCGACUCUACCUGGUUGGUUGAUGGCAGUUGCAUGGCUACUGUACUUAGUUUGGCUAUGCAUCUCAUUCAAGGAACCAAAUCGUGCCACUGAGGCAGAUGAUACCCCACAUAAUCGUGCUUCUGGACAAUGUGUGGAUAUUGGGCAAGUUGAAAAUGGACUUGCACAACCAUUGCUUGGAGAUUCUGAAAGCAAACUAAAUGACGACGACGAUGAUGAUGAAGAAGAUGAAAGUGAAGAAUCCGCACAAGAUUCUCGCAAGCCUGCAACUUCGAUUGGUUCAGCAUACAGAUUGCUCACUCCAUCAGUAAAGGUUCAAUUGUUGAUAUACUUCAUGCUCAAGUACGCGAUGGAGAUUUUACUUUCUGAGUCAAGUGUUAUUACCAGUCACUAUUUCAAUUGGAAUACAAGCUCAGUGGCAAUAUUUCUGGCAAUUCUUGGGUUGACAGUGCUUCCUAUUAAUGCUGUUGUUGGAACAUAUAUCAGCAACAUGUUUGAGGACAGCUUCAAAGUCACGAGUACAUACUCCGUCAUCCAGUAUGUUGUCUCAGCACUCAUUACGUUUGUUUCUGCUGAAGUCCUUGAAGGUAACAAAUAUUUGAACAUUCUAGUUAUAAGCUCCUGUGAUAUAGUUGUCUUAUCUCGCACCAAGGAGACCUGUCUAAAAUUCUUGCCACGAAAUGCAGGCGUCAACCUUUCGCUCCUGUCGAGCGUGAUGUCGUCCCGCCUCUCCCGGGGCACAUACAACGGCGGGCUCCUCUCGACGGAGGCUGGCACCCUGGCGAGGGUGGUCGCCGACUGCACCAUCACCGCAGCGGGGUACCUGGGCAUCGGGAGCCUCCUCAACGUUACCCUGCUGCCCUCCCUGGUGAUCUGCGCCGCAUCAAUUGCAUGCACCUUCUUGACCUACAACUCCCUCUUCUAA
rnacentral:rRNA from 1 species